rnacentral:rRNA from 1 species
CAAUAGCGUAUAUUAAAGUUGUUGCAGUUAAAAAGCUCGUAGUUGGAUUUCGGGGCAGCCUGGCUGGUCCGCCGCAAGGCGAGUACUGGUCAGCCGCCCUUCCUCUCGAACGCCCCGACUGCUCUUCGUUGCAGUGGUCGGGUAGUUCGGGACGUUUACUUUGAAAAAAUUAGAGUGUUCAAGGCAGGCCUACGCCUGAAUACAUUAGCAUGGAAUAAUGGAAGAGGACCUCGGUCCUAUUUUGUUGGUUUCCAGGGCCGAAGUAAUGAUUAAGAGGGACAGUUGGGGGCAUUCGUAUUUAAUUGUCAGAGGUGAAAUUCUCGGAUUUAUGAAAGACGAACAACUGCGAAAGCAUUUGCCAAGGAUGUUUUCAUUAA